AGCUCUGUGCUUUCAGCUUCUUUACAGUGCUGCCUUGUUGCAUUCAUGUCAAGCAGCAUUGUACAGGGCUAUGAAAGAACUGAGACC
ensembl:miRNA